UCAUUUGGUAAGUUUUGAGUAAAAUACAAUCCCUAGAACUAUACAGUACACCAACCACUCCAUUUCAGAACGAACUUCGUACGAACCUGAAUUUUCAAAUUUCGUGGAACGAUCGAUAUCGGAUUGAGUCCAAAACUUGGGGAACAACAUAAUAUUGUGGGAGGAGGCAUUUGGUGGGUUUUGAGUGAAAUACAAUCCCUAGAACUAUACAAUACACCAACCACUCCAUUUCAGAACGAACUUGGUACAAACCUGAAUUGUCAAAUUUCGUGGAACGAUCGAUAUCGGAUUGAGUCCAAAACUUGGGGAACACCAUAAUAUUGUGGGAGGAGUCAAUUGGUGGGUUUUGAGUGAAAUCCAAUCUCUAGAACUAUACAAUACACCAAUCACCCCAUUUCAGAACGAACUUCGUACGAACCUGAAUUGUCCGAUUUCAAGGACCAAUCGAUACCGGAUUAAGUCCAAAAC
rnacentral:lncRNA from 1 species